rnacentral:rRNA from 1 species
GGAUUAGAUACCCUGGUAGUCCAUGCCGUAAACGAUGAUAACUAGCUAUUGGCGAUACACAGUCAGUGGCAAAGCGAAAGCAUUAAGUUAUCCACCUGGGAAGUACGGUCGCAAGAUUGAAACUCAAAGGAAUUGACGGGGGCCCGCACAAGCGGUGGAGCAUGUGGUUUAAUUCGAUGAUACGCGAGGAACCUUACCAGGGCUUAAAUGGGGAUUGACAGGACUGGAAACAGUUUUUUCUUCGGACAAUCUUCAAGGUGCUGCAUGGUUGUCGUCAGCUCGUGCCG